AGUGAACGCUGGCGGUAGGCCUAACACAUGCAAGUCGAACGGCAGCACAGUAAGAGCUCGCUCUUACGGGUGGCGAGUGGCGGACGGGUGAGGAAUACAACGGAAUCUACUUUUUCGUGGGGGUUAACGUAGGGAAACUUACGCCAAUACAGCAUACGCCCUACGGGUGAAAGCAGGGGAUCUUCGGAGCUUGCGCGAUUGAAUGCGCCGCUGUCGGAUUAGCUGGUUGGCGGGGUAAAGGCCCACCAAGGCGACGAUCCGUAGCUGGAGUGAGGGGAUGGUCGGCCACCCUGGAACUGAGACAGGGUCCAUGCGACUGCGGGAGGCCGCAGUGGGGAAUAUUGGACAACGGGGGGAAGCCUGAUCCAACCAGACCGCGUGGGUUGAGAAGGCGUUGCGUUUGUAAAGCCCGUUUGUUGGUAGAAAAAAGCAGCAGGUUAAGACCCCGCUUGUCUGACGGUACCCAAAAAAGAAGCACCGGCUAACUUCGUG
rnacentral:rRNA from 1 species